GUUUAAGGAGGGAGAGAGACAAUGAAUGGUGGAGGAGGAUCAUUGGGGAUCCGUUCUGGGAGUUAUGGCUCAUUGGAAAAACCACAGCAGCAACUUCAGCAGCAAAAUGGCACUAAUGGUACUGGUAAUGGUAAUCUGUUGCCUAUUCAAUCGGCAAUCCGAAUUAAGCCUGUUAAAAUGUUCAAGGAUAAGGAAAGAU
rnacentral:lncRNA from 1 species